rnacentral:rRNA from 1 species
CCUACGGGUAGAGCAGUGGGGAAUUUUGGACAAUGGGCGAAAGCCUGAUCCAGCCAUGCCGCGUGUGUGAAGAAGGUCUUCGGGUUGUAAAGCACUUUCAGUGGGGAAGAAAGCCUUGGGGCUAAUACCCUCGAGGAAGGACAUCACCCACAGAAGAAGCACCGGCUAACUCCGUGCCAGCAGCCGCGGUAAUACGGAGGGUGCGAGCGUUAAUCGGAAUUACUGGGCGUAAAGCGCGCGUAGGCGGUCUGAUAAGCCGGUUGUGAAAGCCCCGGGCUCAACCUGGGAACGGCAUCCGGAACUGUCAGGCUAGAGUGCAGGAGAGGAAGGUAGAAUUCCCGGUGUAGCGGUGAAAUGCGUAGAGAUCGGGAGGAAUACCAGUGGCGAAGGCGGCCUUCUGGACUGACACUGACGCUGAGGUGCGAAAGCGUGGGUAGCAAACAGGAUUAGAUACCCCUGUAGUC